AGCUCUGUAAGAGCCACAGCAGGAAAGGCAGGCAGGAAUGGGUGAAGAGCACUCUUUGAAGAAAGCAGCACAGACAGGAAAACAGAAAAGAGGAGGCAAAGGGGCUUUGGCUUGAACUUGGUGAAACAACAUACAGUCCUUCCUUCAGAGCCUGAAUGCUGCUGGGAAAAGAAAGCUGUGGGGCUCUGCUUACCCCAGGCCCAGGAUUUACAUCCAGUCCUGCCACUGGAUUUCCUGGAGCAGUCCAAUGACUUUGGUAGGAUUGGUAAAUUAUUCAAGCAUGUUUUUCUCUCAGAUAAACAUCACUUUCUUUUUUUUUUUUUUUUUUUUUUUUUUUUUUUACAGCUGGAAAAGCAAGUCUUAGAGAGAUCAGAAGGCUUAGGUAGUGACAUCUGAAAUCUAGCUGAACCCUUGUCUGCUGUCUAAGUCUGCCAGCACCCGAGACUUUGAAAUUUAAAUUGCUCUGAUGCCUGAUGGACUUCUCCCCAGGCAUGUCCAGAAGCACUCAGCUCCUGCUGCUGCAUGGAUCAGCUUGUACAUCAAGCCUUACGCUGUCAGGAUUCACAAACCUGCUGUUUCCUCACCCCACCUUUUUAAGGAGCAUUUCUCAUGUGUGCCUGGAGACACCUGCUUCAUCACCUUCCAGGUAAAAUGCAGGUUCUUCCUGCUGGAGCAAGGUGGGGCACCACCUCUUCCUCAUCACUAGAUGUGGGAGAUUUGGUAUUAGUUCCCUCAUUUGCUUGGUAGCUUCGCUCUACUCACUAAGCCAGAGGCUCUUUGGCUUGAAGCACAAGUUCAGGAAAAUGCACCAGCUCUCCACGUGAAGCCAUGCCACAGCCAAAAAAAAAUAAAUUAGAUGAAGACUGAUGUAGGCUGAGAGCAGGAGCUUGACUACAGCCAAGUGGUUUGGGAUCUUCUGGAAUGGCCACCAAUACUCCAAGGCCUGCUUCUGCAUUUUUAAUAUCACAUUUCCAGCUGACUACCCUAACCUUAAAUUUUAGAGUAGCCUGUGACAGAAUUAUUGCUUAAGUUAAAAAGGAAUAGAAAACCAGCUUCUGUCCUGAAAAACAUCCUGUAGUAGGUAUUUAGGGCACUUUUUGGAGAGAUGUUUGUUGUAGUAUUCUCAAGGAAAAGAGAGAAUAGGAGUCAAGUCCUCUGCAGCCUGUGUAGUGGCUAUUUGGCAUUGAAGGGAAGCCUGCCAGCCUCCGUGAGAUGUGUUGGAGACAGGAAUGAACCACACCACAGCGUAGGCUGUGAAGGUUCAGCGGGGGCAAGUAUUUGAGAUGAACCUCUGUACAGCAUCACCUUUCAGGCUGUUUUUGGCAUCUCCCUGCCCAGCACACUUACUGUUGUGCUUUCCAGUUGGAAGGAUUUAAUUCCCACAGCAUUUAAGUUCCACUGAGGACUCCUCUGCGGA